GAUGAACGCUAGCGGCGGGCUUAAUACAUGCAAGUCAAGGGGUAGCAAUACACCGGCGUACGGGUGCGUAACGCGUAUGGAACCUGCCCUUAUCUGGGGGAUAACUCGGGGAAACUCGAGCUAAUACCGCAUAAGAUAGUAGAGAGGCAUCUCUCAGCUAUUAAAGAUUUAUCGGAUAAGGAUGGCCAUGCGUAAGAUUAGAUAGUUGGCGAGGUAACGGCUCACCAAGUCUACGAUCUUUAGGGGCUCUGAGAGGAGAAUCCCCCACACUGGCACUGAGAUACGGGCCAGACUCCUACGGGAGGCAGCAGUAGGGAAUAUUGGGCAAUGGGCGGAAGCCUGACCCAGCCACGCCGCGUGCAGGAAGACGGCCCUCUGGGUUGUAAACUGCUUUUGAUUGGGAAGAAAGCAGCUCAUGCGUGUGAAUUUGACGGUACCAAUCGAAUAAGCCACGGCUAACUACGUGCCAGCAGCCGCGGUAAUAC
rnacentral:rRNA from 1 species